rnacentral:rRNA from 1 species
UACGUAGGGCGCAAGCGUUAUCCGGAAUUAUUGGGCGUAAAGAGCUCGUAGGCGGUUUGUUGCGUCUGCCGUGAAAGUCCGGGGCUCAACUCCGGAUCUGCGGUGGGUACGGGCAGACUAGAGUGCAGUAGGGGAGACUGGAAUUCCUGGUGUAGCGGUGAAAUGCGCAGAUAUCAGGAGGAACACCGAUGGCGAAGGCAGGUCUCUGGGCUGUAACUGACGCUGAGGAGCGAAAGCAUGGGGAGCGAACAGG